rnacentral:rRNA from 1 species
UACGUAGGGUGCAAGCGUUGUCCGGAAUUAUUGGGCGUAAAGAGCUCGUAGGCGGUCAGUCGCGUCUGCUGUGAAAACUCGGGGCUUAACUCCGGGCCUGCAGUGGGUACGGGCUGACUAGAGUGCGGUAGGGGAGACUGGAAUUCCUGGUGUAGCGGUGAAAUGCGCAGAUAUCAGGAGGAACACCGGUGGCGAAGGCGGGUCACUGGGUCUUUCCUAACGCUGAGGCACGAAAGCUAGGGGAGCGAACGGG